AUUGAACGCUGGCGGCAUGCCUUACACAUGCAAGUCGAACGGUAACAGGUCUUCGGAUGCUGACGAGUGGCGAACGGGUGAGUAAUACAUCGGAACGUGCCCGAUCGUGGGGGAUAACGAAGCGAAAGCUUUGCUAAUACCGCAUAAGAUCUAAGGAUGAAAGCAGGGGACCGCAAGGCCUUGCGCGAACGGAGCGGCCGAUGGCAGAUUAGGUAGUUGGUGGGAUAAAAGCUUACCAAGCCGACGAUCUGUAGCUGGUCUGAGAGGACGACCAGCCACACUGGGACUGAGACACGGCCCAGACUCAUACGGGAGGCAGCAGUGGGGAAUUUUGGACAAUGGGCGAAAGCCUGAUCCAGCCAUGCCGCGUGCAGGAUGAAGGCCUUCGGGUUGUAAACUGCUUUUGUACGGAACGAAAAGACUCUGGUUAAUACCUGGGGUCCAUGACGGUACCGUAAGAAUAAGCACCGGCUAACUACGUGCCAGCAGCCGCAGUAAAAC
rnacentral:rRNA from 1 species